GACAGAGGAUGCAAGCGUUAUCCGGAAUGAUUGGGCGUAAAGCGUCUGUAGGUGGCUUUUCAAGUCCGCCGUCAAAUCCCAGGGCUCAACCCUGGACAGGCGGUGGAAACUACCAAGCUGGAGUACGGUAGGGGCAGGAGGGAAUUUCCGGUGGAGCGGUGAAAUGCAUUGAGAUCGGAAAGAACACCAACGGCGAAAGCACUCGUAGCUGGGCCGACACUGACACUGAGAGACGAAAGCUAGGGAGCAAAUGGGAUUAGGAAACCCUU
rnacentral:rRNA from 1 species